CAGUAGCCGCGGUAAUACGAAGGGGGCUAGCGUUGCUCGGAAUGACUGGGCGUAAAGGGCGCGUAGGCGGCGGCCAAAGUCAGGCGUGAAAUUCCUGGGCUCAACCUGGGGGCUGCGUUUGAUACUUGGUUGCUUGAGUGGGGAAGAGGGUCGUGGAAUUCCCAGCGUAGAGGUGAAAUUCGUAGAUAUUCGGAAGAACACCAGUGGCGAAGGCGACUACCUGGUCUGGCAUUGACGCUCAUGUGCGAAAGCGUGGGGAGCAAACAGGAUUAGAUACCCGGGUAGUCCCUGUCUCUUAUAC
rnacentral:rRNA from 1 species